GACAGAGGUGCCGAGCGUUAGGCGGAAUCACUGGGCGUAAAGCGCACGUAGGCGGCUUAGCAAGUCGGAUGUGAAAUCCCUCGGCUCAACCAAGGGAGUGCAUCCGAAACUGCUGAGCUUGAGUACGAAAGAGGAUCGCGGAAUUCCCGGUGUAGAGGUGAAAUUCGUAGAUAUCGGGAGGAACACCAGUGGCGAAGGCGGCGAUCUGGGUCGAUACUGACGCUGAGGUGCGAAAGCGUGGGGAGCAAACAGG
rnacentral:rRNA from 1 species